rnacentral:lncRNA from 1 species
CAGGCCUGUGUAAACUUGGCCAUUCACAUGGAAUAUUAAUCACAGAAGUUAGCCAUUGCAGCGCUGCUGGCUACAGAGAAUGAGCACAAACUUUAAACGACCCACUUGAAGCUCAGACACCCCCACCAUGAGUGGCAGCUUCUUCAGUGUGAAAGUUGCCCUGUUGGGAAGGUUAUAUCUGCACACGAGCAGCCAUGGCCUCAGAGAGCUCCAGAGGUUUAAAUUCCUACUCCCCAUUAGUAAUCUGAGACUUGACUAGUCAAUUAAGCAGCUCAAAGGAAUAAAGGUCUCUAGUUCAAGCUCAGGUUAAAUAUUAAAAGGGUCUCCUGGCUCUUUAACUUGUAGCUUGCUAACUUGUUAGAUGGAGCAGAAGUCUGCUGCUCAGAGGGAUUACUGAUUGAUAUUGGGCACACUGGACAAGCCUCCUGGCUGGCAGGAUCACUGUCCUGGGAUUGCGGCUUCCUUCCACCAAGUGAUUGCCUCCAACCUGCUGUCUCUUCCUGCAAGGCUGCCUGGCCCUGCCGGAUCCUUGACAGACCCUGGCUCUUUAACAGAGCCUCACAACAACGCAAGAAGGUGGGCAUUAUCUUCUUCCAGUUCAUGGGGGACAGAAGAAAGUCCCAGAAGAGCAGGAGCUUGCUGAGAUCUGGGCAAGUGCUCCACCACAGAGCCACCCCCAGCCCCUGCCUGAGGUCUCGACAGUAGUCAGUAGACCCGGGGCUUGAACUCAAUUCUGAGUGGUCCUCCUGGUCUUCCCAUUAUGCUAGCUGUUAUGGUUUGGACCUGGAGUGUCCCCCCAAGGCUCGUGGUCCCCAGUGCAGCAGUGUUCAGAGGUGGGGCUUUGGAUCAGGAGGACUCUGAGCUUCUCAGUGGACUAACCCAUUGGUCCCCAGCUAAUGGAAUUAGGGGACGGUGAAGCCUAGUUGGAAGAAGUCACCAGAGGUGUGCCCUGGAAGAAUUUACCUUGUCCCUAGCCCCUUCCCUUUCUCUGCUUCCUGACUGUCGUGACUGAGCAGCUUUCCUCUGCUAUACCCUUCCACCAUGAUGUCCCCAAGGCAAUGGACAGACAACCAUGGACUGACACCUCUGAAACCAUGAGCCAAAAGAGAUCUUUCCAUUCAGCUGUUUGUGUUAGUCAUUUGUGUCCUAGGGAUGAAAAGCUGACCAACACACUAGCUAUACCCAAAUAAAUGGGUAACCUAGCAGAAUAGACGUGCUAGGCCUGCGUAUAAAGAGCCACCACUGGUACCCAGGUCCGCCAUGUAGAUAGGGUAGAUAGACUGGGUAGAAACUCUUAUUACAAGUAGAUAGGAUGACCAUCCAUUUCUGUUGACUCAGGACUCAGGAUAUUCUCAGGUUAUGGGACUUUCAACCAGAUUAGUGGGUCACCCUCCAUAUCGGGGUGUGCAGAGUUUUCACUGACCAAGGAGUAGGUAGAGGCUGCAAGGCAGCUAAGCUCCCUUCAUCAAGCUUUGCUUAUAAAGCAGGGCUGCAUCCCUCGAACGGAAAGUAGAGUGUGGACUAGCGAAGGCCCUACUAGUUCCUUUGGCAUGAUCAGCCCAGAAAUUCAAGUAAUUCAAUGCUUAGGGUAAUGGCUUCAUUUAAAAACCAACUUUUUUUUUAACCCUCUCUUUCUAGGGAAUUUCUCACACUUUCUACAAACACACGUGUGCACAUGCACACACACUCAAAAGGCUCAAAGUGCACGUUCCUAAUCCUGUACUAUGAACUGCUCUGGUCACAGAAGGAAAAGGAAGGUGGAGAAAUAGGCAGGUCCAGGGUGCUGUGUCUGAUAGCGCUGAGAGCUGCUCUCCCUGCGUUUCCUCCUGGAUGCCCAGUAGGGAGGCACUUCCCCUCUAUGGUCCUGGACAGUCUCUGGCCUUUCACUGUGGACAGAAAUGACUGGAGCAUUCAAUUCUAGUGAAUGUUAGAGUCUGUAAACAAGUCAAAAAUAACACCUGGCAUUUUGCCAGGGGAAUGUUAGAGUUCGUAAACAAGUCUGGAUGGUGCCUGGCAAAAUGCCAGAGGGAGUGGUUUGAGAAGUAACAAAAGCGAGCCAUUAAGUGUGGAGAUUCCUUAUUGGUUGACUGAUGUAUCUAGUUUAUGCUAAUUAGAUAAGCUGUGUGGAAUGUAUAAAUACUGCUCCUG